rnacentral:rRNA from 1 species
CCUACGGGUGGCAGCAGUGGGGAAUAUUGGACAAUGGGCGAAAGCCUGAUCCAGCCAUGCCGCGUGUGUGAAGAAGGCCUUCGGGUUGUAAAGCACUUUCAGUGGGGAAGAAAGCCUUGGGGCUAAUACCCUCGAGGAAGGACAUCACCCACAGAAGAAGCACCGGCUAACUCCGUGCCAGCAGCCGCGGUAAUACGGAGGGUGCGAGCGUUAAUCGGAAUUACUGGGCGUAAAGCGCGCGUAGGCGGUCUGAUAAGCCGGUUGUGAAAGCCCCGGGCUCAACCUGGGAACGGCAUCCGGAACUGUCAGGCUAGAGUGCAGGAGAGGAAGGUAGAAUUCCCGGUGUAGCGGUGAAAUGCGUAGAGAUCGGGAGGAAUACCAGUGGCGAAGGCGGACUUCUGGACUGACACUGACGCUGAGGUGCGAAAGCGUGGGUAGCAAACAGGAUUAGAUACCCGGGUAGUC